rnacentral:rRNA from 1 species
UGGUCUUGACAUCCACGGAAGUUUUCAGAGAUGAGAAUGUGCCUUCGGGAACCGUGAGACAGGUGCUGCAUGGCU